GAGAGUGUAGCUCAGCAGUAGAGUGUAUACUUGGCAUGCACAAGGUCCUGGGUUCAAUCCCUAGUACUUCCA
rnacentral:tRNA from 1 species